UACGUAGGGUGCAAGCGUUGUCCGGAAUUAUUGGGCGUAAAGAGCUCGUAGGUGGUUUGUCGCGUUGUCCGUGAAAACUCACAACUCAAUUGUGGGCGUGCGGGCGAUACGGGCAGACUGGAGUACUGCAGGGGAGACUGGAAUCCAUGGUGUAGCAGUGAAAUGCGUAGAGAUCAUGAGGAAGACCAGUGGCGAAGGCGGGUCUCUGGACAGUUCCUGACACUGAGGCACGAAGGCCAGGGGAGCAAACGGG
rnacentral:rRNA from 1 species